UUCCACUUAAUUUAAUGGAAAAAUUAAUUUAAGAUAAACUAUUAUGGAAAUUUUGGUUGAUUUCCAGCUAGCAACAUUGAACAAUUUUAGAAAUAAAAAUUCAGUUUUCUUAGAUUUUUAGGACUAUUUAGGUGCCAGCAGUCGCGGUCAUACCUAACUAAAAUAAUUUUUCUUAGAAUAAAAAAUAUUAACAAAUUAAAAUAAAAUAGUAAAAUAUUUUUUUUAUUAAUUCUUUUCUAAUAAAUUAAUUUUUAAAUUCUGUUUUUAAAACUAGGAUUAGAUACCCUAUUAUUAUAGAACUAAAAAUAAUAUUCUAAGCACUAAAAUCUUAAAUGAUUAAAACUUAAAAAUUAUGGCGGUAAAUCAAAACUUUAGGGGAACUUACCAGGUAAUUGAUAACCCACAAGUUAUUUUUCUUGAUCUAAUAGCUUAUAUAUUGCCGUUGUGAUUUUAUUUUAGAUAAUAUCAAAAUUGUUAUUAACAAUAAUAACAGGUCAUAGUGUAGCCUAUGGUUAAGUCAUAAGGUGAGUUACAAUAAUUAUUUAUUUCGGAUAAUUUUUUUAAAAAAAAUUAAAAGAUGGACUUAAAAGUAAUUUCAAAUAAUAAAUUAUGAAUAAAAAUUGAUUUGUGUACAAAUCGCCCGUCACUCUAAUUUAUUAAAUUAGAUAAGUCGUAACAUAGUAGAGGUAGCGGAAGCUGUCUCU
rnacentral:rRNA from 1 species